GUGCCAGCCGCCGCGGUAAUACGGAGAGGGCAAGCGUUGUUCGGAUUUAUUGGGCGUAAAGCGCGUGUAGGCGGCGCGGUAAGUCGGAUGUUAAAGACCCACGGCUCACCCGGGGGAAUGCGUUCGAUACUGCCGUGCUGGAGUGCGAGAGAGGAAAGUGGAAUUCCUGGUGUAGCGGUGAAAUGCGUAGAUAUCAGGAGGAACACCUGUGGCGAAGGCGGCUUUCUGGCUCGUAACUGACGCUGGGACGCGAAAGCGUGGGGAGCGAACGGGAUUAGAUACCCCGGUAGUCCACGCCGUAAACGUUGGAUACUAGGUGUGGGAGGUAUUCUACCCCUUCCGUGCCGCAGCUAACGCAUUAAGUAUCCCGCCUGGGGAGUACGGUCGCAAGACUGAAACUUAAAUGAAUUGGCGGGG
rnacentral:rRNA from 1 species